rnacentral:rRNA from 1 species
GAUGAACGCUGGCGGCGUGCCUAAUACAUGCAAGUCGAGCGAACGGACGAGAAGCUUGCUUCUCUGAUGUUAGCGGCGGACGGGUGUGUAACACGUGGAUAACCUCCCUAUAAGACUGGGAUAACUUCGGGAAACCGGAGCUAAUACCGGAUAAUAUUUUGAACCGCAUGGUUCAAAAGUGAAAGACGGUCUUGCUGUCACUUAUAGAUGGAUCCGCGCUGCAUUAGCUAGUUGGUACGGUAACGGCUUACCAAGGCAACGAUGCAUAGCCGAGCUGAGAGGGGGAUGGGCCACUCUGGAGCUGAGCGACGACCCAGGGACCGACGGGAGGCAGCAGUUGCUAAGGGAGCGCAAUGUGCGAAAGCCUGACGGAGCAACGCCGCGUGGGUGAAGAAGCGCUUCGGGUCGUAAAACUCUGUUAGUAGUGAAGAACAUAUGUGUAAGUAACGGUGCGCAUCUGGAGGGUACCGAAACAGAAAGCCACGGCUAACUACUU